rnacentral:rRNA from 1 species
UACGUAGGGGGCUAGCGUUGUCCGGAAUCAUUGGGCGUAAAGGGCGCGUAGGCGGCCUGAUAAGUAGGGGGUGAAAUCCUGCGGCUUAACCGCAGGGCUGCCUUCUAAACUGUCAGGCUAGAGCACAGUAGAGGCAGGUGGAAUUCCCGGUGUAGCGGUGGAAUGCGUAGAGAUCGGGAAGAACAUCAGUGGCGAAGGCGGCCUGCUGGGCUGUUGCUGACGCUGAGGCGCGACAGCGUGGGGAGCAAACAGGG